UAAUGAAAAGGAUAAAAACUUGAAAGAAAUGGAAUUACGUUCAUUUGAGAAAUCUCCAUGUGUUGAGCUUGAUGAAGAUGAUUACAAUAUAGAUUUUGUUCCACCUUCUCCAGAAGAAGGAAUGACUUCUGCCUCUUCUUUCUCUUUAAAAUGCUUUAGUAUGUUAAAGGAGCUUGAUGCCUGUGACAGAAAGAAGGAUGGCCUAAGCACGCCAGAGGACUUCUCAAAGCUUGAGAAAAUGCCUGCUCAGCAAUCUAACCACGAAACUGGCACAGACUCUGAUGG